rnacentral:rRNA from 1 species
CCUACGGGGGGCAGCAGUGGGGAAUAUUGCACAAUGGGGGAAACCCUGAUGCAGCAACGCCGCGUGAGUGAAGAAGGUUUUCGGAUUGUAAAGCUCUGUUAGCAGGGAAGAGGAAGGACGGUACCUGCAGAGGAAGCCACGGCUAACUACGUGCCAGCAGCCGCGGUAAUACGUAGGUGGCAAGCGUUGUUCGGAAUAACUGGGCGUAAAGGAUGCGUAGGCGGUUAAACAAGUUAUAUGUUAAAUAUAUAGGCUUAACCUGUGGCCUGCAUUUGAAACUGUAGUUCUUGAGUACUGGAGAGGCAGACGGAAUUCCUAGUGUAGCGGUGAAAUGCGUAGAUAUUAGGAGGAACACCAGUGGCGAAGGCGGUCUGCUGGACAGCAACUGACGCUGAGGCGCGAAAGCGUGGGGAGCAAACAGGAUUAGAUACCCGAGUAGUC